GCCGGAGUGGUGGAAUUGGUAGACACCAGGGACUUAAAAUCCCUUGGGCCUUAUGGCCCGUGUCGGUUCAAGUCCGACCUCCGGCA
rnacentral:tRNA from 1 species